rnacentral:misc_RNA from 1 species
GAAGUGCGAUAAGUAGUGUGAAUUGCAGAAUUCCGUGAAUCAUCGAAUCUUUGAACGCAAAUUGCACUCUCUGGUAUUCCGGAGAGUAUGCCUGUUUGAGGGUCGGUAAGAUGAAAAAUCGUUAUGUCGCUUUUGGGGCGUGACGGAGUUGGGUUUUCUUUACCCUUCGGGGUUCAAAGUGACCUAAAAUUCAUUUUAAAAUUAUCCUUCGAUAUGAUUGCGUACUAAUUUUUGUGUCGCUUGAGUAAUCGAUGGUAAACAUAUUAGGCGUGACCAUCUUGAUGGAAUCGCGCUUAUAAUAUUUCGAGAAACGACCUCAAAUCAGGUAGGAGGACCCGCUGAACUUAAGCA